GGAUGGUAGCUCAGUGGUAGAGCGCUCCCCUAGCACGGGUGGGACCUGGGUUCGAUCCGCAGCACCA
rnacentral:tRNA from 1 species